CAGCGAUGAAAGAAUGAUCAGUCUCAAGGACCAAAGAAUAAAAGAGACAGACCGAGCCAAAGCAAAAGAGAAAAAGAAGAAAGACCCUUCGCAGCUGAAGGAGAGAGAAGUGACUAAGUACCCAUCGUGCCUCUUUUUUCAAUACAACACUCAGCUUGGCCCACCAUACCACAUUCUGGUUGACACAAACUUUAUAAACUUCUCC